CCGAGACCCGCCAUGUCGCAGCCCCGCGUGCUGCCCCAGAGCAAGGAGACCCUGCUGCAGUCCUACAACAAGAGGCUGAAGGACGACGUCAAGUCCAUCAUGGACAACUUCACCGAGAUCAUCAAGACGGUCAAGAUUGAGGAUGAAACCCAAGUCUCCCGAGCAACCCAAGGUGAGCAGGACAACUACGAGAUGCACGUCAGAGCCGCAAACAUUGUCCGAGCUGGCGAGUCCUUGAUGAAGCUUGUGUCUGACCUGAAACAAUUCUUGAUCCUCAAUGACUUCCCCUCUGUGAACGAAGCUAUCAACCAGCGUAACCAGCAGCUGCGGAGCCUACAAGAUGAAUGCGACAAGAAGCUGAUUGCACUGAGGGACGAGAUUUCCAUUGACCUGUAUGAGUUAGAAGAAGAAUAUUACUCUUCCAGGUACAAAUAGGAUGCCUGCCUACUAACAAGCCUCCUGCCCUUUUUGAGAACUGGUCUAGGAAAGCGAAUAGUCCCUAGGACUCAAGGCUGUGGGGAUGGUUCCCAUUAACAUCUACAUUCCUGAUUUUGAAUUAGAUCAAACUCUUCUUAAAGACAUGGUGCUAGCAGAGUCAUGGUAGGAGAGACCGAGUUUCUUUGUGUCAGUUCUUUCACAAGUGCCCUAAUUAUAGUGUGCCUUUUCCCAGAGGCCUACCGUCACCAGCUGUCUGGGUCUGUAAAAAAUGAACCUUUUAAAAUGAGUAAGCUGGACUCAAUUUAGCUCAGUUCAGAGGGCCUGAUUGUUUUAAAAACCUAGUAUAUUUUUUAUGAUGAAGUCUUUCAAAACUUCAGAUACAAAAUGGAUUUUAGUGGAUUCAGAUACUUUUUUUCCCCCAGCUAAGCUUCCAAUCUCAGACACUGCUAGUCAGUGAGGUCUAGUAAAUGUAAGUGACUAGAAUCAAAUCCAAAAUUAACUAGUUUGGUUCUAUUCUCCAAUUUGAGUAGGUACAAUAGGUAAGAGUUAAGCAACACCCAGGCAACACAUACUUGCUGUUUUAAAAAUGCUUAUUUUAAUCUUUGGACCAAUACAUUGUGACCAUGCUGGCAUGGUCUUUUUUUUAGCCAGCCCUGGAUGCCACAGAAAGUGACCUUUCAUAGCAGAACUAAUGGGGCUCUUAAGGUGAGAGAUAUUGGCUGUGCUAUGGAGCUGUGCCUUUUACCAAAUCCCAUAUCAAGUAGGUGUCCUUGGCUGUUUAGCAAUUACUCCCUUUUCCCUCCCUUGCUAUCAGCUAGCUUUAUUUCUGCACCAAAGAAAUACACAAGUGUGUCAAUAGAGUAGCCCAGUGAUUUAUUAGAAGUUAUUUCAUGUCUACAGUAAUAAGGUUUUUUUAAUGGCAUUUUAUUGUCUGAUGUGGGGAUUGUUUUUGUAUUCAAAUGCACGUGGCAUGUUAAUGUUACUUGUGUUUAAAUGGCUUUAAAUAUGUCAACAUGUACCUUGAGUGGACAAUGUGCACUCCUUUGGAGAGCCCGAAAGGAGUUCUGUAACUAUCAACACUGUGAACCUCCUAAGGUCAAGUGGGUUUCUUUGUCUAGUAGGGAUCUGAUUUUGGUCCCAAGGAAAUUACUAGGAGGCUUGCACCUUGCUGGGCGGGAGCACACUAAGGUUCCACACAACUGGAGUCCCUGGUUGCUCUUCCACUCUCUGGUGCCCAAACCGAAGUGCAUUAAAUCAGUGACCUCCUCACUUGCUUAUUCCCCAAAGCUGUAAACUCAUGAACCUGCGCUUGCCUUAUCCAGCCUCGUACAGCCAGAGUUGUAUGCUGGUGCUCCACCACUCCCUUGUCUGGCAGCAUGGGGAGAAGUCUGGAAUGCGGGGUUAAGUUCUACACGGUUUUUCAGUUUGAAGUGUUCCUUCUCUAUAUAUUUUACAGUUAAACUAUUUUCUAUAAAUAUUGACUUGAGUCUAUUCAUUGUAAAUAAAACAGCACCAAAACCC